UUGAACGCUGGCGGCAUGGUUAAAGCAUGCAAGUCGAACGCGAAAGGGAGCAAUCCCAAGUAGAGUGGCGAAAGGGCGAGGAAUACGUUUCUAACGUACCCCGAGGUCGAGGAUAGCUCGGAGAAAUCCGUGGUAAUACUCGAUGAUCCUGGCUGGUCACAUGACCGGCCAGGCAAAGGCUUGCUGCCUUGGGAUCGGGAAACGUCCUAUCAGCUAGUUGGUGUGGUAACGGCGCACCAAGGCUUAGACGGGUAGCGGGUGUGAGAGCAUGGCCCGCCGCAUCGGGACUGAGACACUGCCCGGACUCCUACGGGAGGCUGCAGCGACGAAUCUUCCGCAAUGGGCGCAAGCCUGACGGAGCAAUGCCGCGUGCAGGAUGAAGCCCUUCGGGGUGUAAACUGCUGUCAGGGGCUACCAACACAAUGAGGAUCCCCAAAGGAAGGACCGGCUAACUUCGU
rnacentral:rRNA from 1 species